rnacentral:rRNA from 1 species
CCAGACUCCUACGGGAGGCAGCAGUGAGGAAUAUUGGUCAAUGGGCGCGAGCCUGAACCAGCCAAGUCGCGUGAGGGAUGACGGUCCUACGGAUUGUAAACCUCUUUUGCCGGGGAGCAAGCGUGCGUUCGUGAACGCGCGUCGAGAGUACCCGGAGAAAAAGCAUCGGCUAACUCCGUGCCAGCAGCCGCGGUAAUACGGAGGAUGCGAGCGUUAUCCGGAUUUAUUGGGUUUAAAGGGUGCGUAGGCGGUUUUUUAAGUUAGUGGUUAAACGUCGGGGCUUCACCUUGAUUUGCCAUUAAUACUGUAAGACUCGAGUUCAGACGAGGUAGGCGGAAUAAGUUAAGUAGCGGUGAAAUGCUUAGAUAUAACUUAGAACUCCGAUAGCGAAGGCAGCUUACCAGACUGCGACUGACGCUGAAGCACGAGAGCGUGGGUAGCGAACAGGAUUAGAUACCCCUGUA